rnacentral:rRNA from 1 species
UUGGAGGGCAAGUCUGGUGCCAGCAGCCGCGGUAAUUCCAGCUCCAAUAGCGUAUAUUAAAGUUGUUGCAGUUAAAAAGCUCGUAGUUGAAUUUCGGGGUUCAUACGUUGGUCGGGCUUUUUGGUCUGUACUAGCGUAAUGGAUUCCUACCUUCUGAAUAACCGGCAUGCCAUUAAUUUGGUGCGUCGGGGAAGCAGGACUGUUACCUUGAAAAAAUUAGAGUGCUUAAAGCAGGCUAUCGCCUGAAUACAUUAGCAUGGAAUAAUGAAAUAGGACGGCAUGGUUCUAUUUUGUUGGUUUCUAGGAUCACCGUAAUGAUUAAUAGGGAUAGUUGGGGGCAUUAGUAUUCAAUUGUCAGAGGUGAAAUUCUUGGAUUUAUUGAAGACUAACUUCUGCGAAAGCAUUUGCCAAGGAUGUUUUCAUUAAUCAAGAACGAAAGUUAGGGGAUCGAAGACGAUCAGAUACCGUCGUAGUCUUAACCAUAAACUAUGCCGACUAGGAAUCGGACGAUGUUAAUUUUUUAAUGACUCGUUCGGCGCCUUACGGGAAAC